rnacentral:rRNA from 1 species
AUGAACGCUAGCGGCAGGCCUAACACAUGCAAGUCGAGGGGUAGGCAUCUUCGGAUGUUGAGACCGGCGCACGGGUGCGUAACGCGUAUGCAAUCUACCUUAUACUAAGGGAUAGCCCAGAGAAAUUUGGAUUAAUACCUUAUAGGAUAUCAGAAUGGCAUCAUUUAGAUAUUAAAGAUUAAUUGGUAUAAGAUGAGCAUGCGUCCCAUUAGUUAGUUGGUAAGGUAACGGCUUACCAAGACGAUGAUGGGUAGGGGUCCUGAGAGGGAGAUCCCCCACACUGGUACUGAGACACGGACCAGACUCCUACGGGAGGCAGCAGUGAGGAAUAUUGGUCAAUGGGCGCAAGCCUGAACCAGCCAUGCCGCGUGCAGGAUGACGCAUCUAUGGUGUGUAAACUGCUUUUGUACAGGAAGAAACAGUUCUUUGCGAAGAACCUUGACGGUACUGUAAGAAUAAGGAUCGGCUAACUCCGU